rnacentral:lncRNA from 1 species
AUGAAGGCUGGCCUGCGGGCACUGCCCAUGAACACGGCCACCCCACAGCUGCUCCUGGAAGGGGGAGCCCCAGAGCCCCAGGGCCGCACUCGCCGCUGCCUGUCAGCCCUCGAGUCCACAAGACAGCUGGAGGAGGAGGAAGAGGAAGAGGAGGAGGAAGAGGAGAGGGAGGAGCACCAGAAAGACAGGAAUGGCUUCCAUGCUGUACCCCUCCGAAGGGCAGGGGCUUUCCGGGCCCACAGCCACACCCACACCCACGACCCCUUCAAGAGACAUAGCUGGGGGCCUGACAGGGAGUUCCAGGACCCACUGAGCAGGUAAGCCUGGGUGUCUCCUGUCCUCUCCUUCCAUCCCUGGGCCCUAGAACAAGCUGUUGAGAAGAAACAUUCCAGGGUCCUUGCCCCUUCUCCAAAGCAGUCUCCAGACAGAUUUCUCUCUACUCCCAGCACUCAGGAGGCUCAGGCAGGAAGAACUUAAUUUCCAGGCCAUAUUGAGUUCAAGGCUGUCUGGACUACACAGUGAGACCCUGUCACAAACAAAUACUGACAGGGGUUGAGGAGACCUGGACUUCUAGUCCUUCCCCUGGAAAAUUGUUUUUGCUUGUUUUAGUCUUGGGUUUUUUUGAGACAGGGUCUUACUAUGUAAGGCUGACCCUCAAACUCAUAGUAAUCCUCCUGCCUGAGUCUCCUGAGUGCUGGGAUCACAGGUCUGCAUCACCAUACCCUGCUCUUCCCCUGGAGAAUUAGAACCCAGCCUAUUAUAAGCCUUGGAAAGGGUGGGCCCUGCCUUCCAAAAUGGGGCUGUCUCCGGUGGCUUCAGCUCUUCUUUUUACGUGAUUUGAGAGCGGGUUGUAGGAGUAGGAACUGAAAGCUGGGAAAAGUACCGGACAUGUGGAUUUUUUU